UUCACUUCAACAGCUGUAAUUAAUUACACUUUUACUUGGAUUCAGUUGAUUAAGAUUAAAUAGUUCAACUUUUAUCUUCAAGCUUUUUAUUCAAUGAUCACUGAUCAACCAACAUGCCAUAAUCAUCGGUAUCAUCACCAUUUACAUAACCCUCUUGUAAACCAUUACUUACUAGGCAUAUAAGUGUCAAAGAGUAAAACAUUUAGAUUGUGAUAAAAGUCUGUGGGAGUUUAAAAUGAUGUUUUUUUAUGUUAUUUCAUGUGAGUGAAAUAUAGUAAAGUGUAUCUACUAUCUUCAUAUUUGUCAUCAUCAUCAUCAUCGUCGUCUUCGUCUUUAUCUUUGUUGUAUUAAGAGGGAAAAAAGUUACACUCAACUCACUUGGCAAACUCAUUUUUCUUUCACUUAAAUUGUACUUACUUGUUAGGUAAAAGAUGAUAGUGAAAGUAGGAAAUGUAAUCCAAUUGGGUUUCCAUUUAAUGUUGUUGUUUUUUGUUGCUUGUUGAUGUUGAUGUAAUGCAAUGUUCAUCAAUCCGCAAACAUGUUACAUUAAAUGACAUACAAUGACAAUGAAUCUUCACAUCAAAAUAUCGACCAUCAUCUCUUAUCUCCAUCCAUUCUACUCUAUAACCAGUUACCUAUCUUUGUUAUUCAUCUUCAUUCCUCUUACAACUUACCUUACAACAUCAUUUUAUUUUACUUUUUAUACACUUUACUUUUAUCCUUUUCUCUCUACUAUUUAUCUCAACUUUACAUCCCUAUUGAUAAUCAACUUGUUAACCUUAUUUGUUUUUAUUAACCAAUAGAUUUAUAUCAUUCCCAUCAUUAGACAACAGUAAAAUUAGUUUACAGCCAUUAUGCUCUAUAAAAUGAAAUUAAAAUUGUCUCUUAUUCAAUUAUGAACAGUGUCUAUUAUUAAUUUGUUUCAGAUGUGUAAAGUGAUGAUAGUUAUUGACUUUGUCAGUUACAAAUUGAUAAACAAAAAAUCCAAAAUUACGAUUAAAUUAAUUUGAUUCAAAAAAAGCGCUUUCCAUUAGUUAUGCCAUCUGAUGAGCGUAUGCAGCUAUUAACUGGCGGUCAAAGACAAGCUGCAUGUUGCACCAUCCAUUAAAAUGACAACCAUCCAUCACAUUUAAUUUGAUUGUUAUGGGUUUUUAAUUCAUUCUGAUUUGCUAAUCAGUCAUUUUGUCACCUUUAAACUAUGUUAAAUCAACUGGUCCUUUAUGUGUUAAGUGGCAAUUAUUAAAGCCACUUGUGUGUCUUGACUUUUUACCAAAACCUAUCUUUCAGUAUAAAAGAUGUGAUUUGUGUGAAAUUUUUUAUUCCAUCGUUUAGCUGUUUAUUAAAUUUUAUAUUUUCAACCAAUUUUUAUACACUUAUCAGGCAUUUGAACAGUUAUUGGAAUUUUCAGCCAAAUAUUGUUCUUGAUGGUAAAGGUAAAGCAGUUACCAUGAAUUAUAAAUUGUUUAAAUAUAAUACUGUUUCUCAACUGUCGUCAAUUAUCAGGAGAUUUAUCGGUGCUUAAUUUAGCUGAUUAAAGUUGAAUAAUCACUGAAUAUUUCAUUUACGGAUAUGAUAUGUGGAAAAACUCUACUGAUUUAUCUUUACUUUUAUAAAUUCAGCUAAGUCCGAUUAACCAUUUUUUUCCCUCCUCAUCAACUUCAAUAACCCUUUUAAAGGCUUAAACCAUAAGCUCAUUCAUUUGUUAUUAUUGUAUUAAUGUUGCAACUAUUAAUAACAUAAAAAAACUUUUCCACUCUUCAUAUUUUGAUUUUUAUCUUCUCAAUUUGUCUCAAAUUUACGCAACCAUCUGAACUCAUUUUGACGAUUGUUGGGAUUAAUUUUGUUACACCAGAUAUAAACAGAUCGAUAUUUUUCCUUAUUCAUAAUCACAAUAAUCAAGAUGAUGGAAUCAAUCUUAUUCUGUGGAUGCCUAAAAAAGGGAGGAUAAAAAAGCCAAAGAUCCAUUGAAAGAUCAACAGCAACAAUUUGAUAGAUUCAAAUGUUAAGUUAAUUGCCACCCUCUUGUGUUGUUUUUGCCCACCCCAGUUAUUAUUGCUCUUGACUCUCAAAUCAGUUGUCAAGAGAGUAAAUGAUAUCGCUUUUGGCUAGUUGACGCUCUUUUGUGUAUAACUUGAAUCCAACUUGGUUUAUGUGCAUAUUGGUAAUGGGUAUGGUUGAAUACCCAUUCGAGCAUCAUUUUUAAAUCAACUUGAAGAGGAUUAAAUCAUCUCAAGAGGAGCUCUGUUGAUGCUGAUAAACUUAGGCAUAAAAACCUGACGAAGCAGGAAAGAGUGGCCUUCAGAGGAUUCCUCAACUAUCGCGCCCAUCAGCUGAUUCAGUCACAAAAAAGUUCAUCCAUGAAGUAGGAAAUGAAAAAGAUGUCUCGACGAAAAUCAAUAAUGUAAAGCGAGGAUCAAAGAAUAUCAGAGAAGGAAAGAAAAAUGAUCAGGGAAAAGAAAAUGAUGAUUAAAAGGACGAGGGAAGAUGAUGGUAACAUGAUAGUCAAAUCAAGCGUCUUGAUUAUUAAAAAUGGAAGACUAUUUAUUGUGUCACUCUAUUAUUAACCAUCAAUAUUUAGACUUUAUAAACCCAUUGAAAACCUUUUUUGUGACCUUUUCUAAAACUUUCUCUUUCUCUUCAGUUGUCUCUUGUGAAUAUGAAUAUAAAGAUUGGAAUUAUCGGAGAGGAUCAAAGAUGAUGAGAUAGAGAAAUGAGGCUGAGAUGUCACCUCGACAUUCAAUAGCAACAAUUAAUCCUAGAUCCUAGUCUCAUCCCCAAAGGAUCUUGCUAAAAGGGACUGUCAUAUUUCACUAAUCUUUCUUCUCUUUCUUCUCUUUCUCUUUUUCCACUUUUACUCUUUACCUUCAUCAUCCUCCUCCACCACCUCCUCCUACUUUUAUUAUUGUUAAACUAUUCAACAUCAAGAUAUCAAUCGAAAUUUCCCCUCCUUUUUCUGAUGAUGAUCAGGAUCAGCAUCGUUUACCAAUUAUCAAAACCAUUUACUACUUAACAUUUUUGCUAAUUCAGAUUCCCCUGAUGAAAUUGAGUGUCCAUCAUCAAACAACAUCAACACACAAAAAAGUCAAUUCAUCCAAAUCUGUUCAUCUCUCUCUCUCUUCCUCUUCCCAUCUGUCUAUUAUUAUAUUCACUGUUGAUGUUCAUCCUUAUUUAUUGUUGUAUCUAAUGACAUUAUCUUAAAUCAUUGUGCUUGAUCCUCAUUUAUUUAUCAUUUUAAAUCUUGAAGGUUGAUUGUUUUAGUUUAGACUCCAAACACAACUCCAACAAUAAUUUCUAUUGAUGAUAAUCAAUUAAGAUGGAUUACCUUUCUUUACCUUUGAUUUACACUUGUACAGCUUUAAGUUUGUUGCCAAAUAGACAAAGUGUUUCACAAUUAAUAUUGAGUUGAAUCAAUUAUGCUUGAAAUUUACUGAAAUCAAUGAACUUGGGAAGCUAGAUGAAAUGCUUUUAAUCAAAACAAUAAGAAUAGAAAUAACAUUUUCAGGGACAAUUUUUCAGAGUAUUUACAAGGAACAAAAGCAAAGAUUGUAACAGAAAAGGAUUAAAUACUUUAUCUUUAUCCAGUUGAUGGUUAAACACAAACAUCAUCUUUAACAAGAACAACAAUUGAGUUGACAAAAAUUGAAGGUUUUGUCAGGUAAAAAUGCUUAUUGAGAAGAUAAUUUAUUUUUGUUUCUUCUCAAGCUUUUGUUAUCUUCCUUUAUUUUGGUCCUCUUUUUCAUGGAAGACUGGAAAAGUCAUUUUUAAAAGAGUGAUUAAGGAAAUCUAAUCCUUUUAUACUUAUAGUAGGUUAAUCCUAACCUCAAAAUAUUAAUUGGAUUGAGAUAGAUAGAGUUGAAGGGUUUACAUUCCCCUUUGGGUCAACAAUGAUAAAUAACGAGAAUGACAUCAAUUUAUUAUUUACCUGUUAAGUUAAAUCAUUGUUAGCAGCAGUUAAAAGCUUACAAACAACUUAAAAUUGUUAACAAAAUUAUCUCUCUCUUUAAAUAUGUCAAUGAACAUAAUUAGAGCAAACAAUUGACCACCACUUAAUUUGAGAAGCAAACGUUUAACUAAUCAUUAUUAACUCCAUUUCAUCCUGUUUCUGGGAUUUUUACAAAAAUAUUAUUCACAGCAAAAAUAAAGGGAAAAUCAUCUAAACCAAACAACUAACGGUUGUGUAUGUUAAUAAAGCAAAGUACAAAAAUAUAAUUAAGCUAUAUUUUUAACUGUAUUUUGUCAUUAUUUUGGGAAAAUCUAAGUUUGGGUAAACAACAAUUUACUAGAUUAACUAAGCAGUUUAACAUGAAAGAAAUAAUAAAUGAAUGUACGAUGAAAUAUGAAACUUAAUGUCUAACUAAUGAUUUUGUUUUUAUCGAAACAAACCAAACCAAGUAGAAACCAUUUGAAUAAAACAAGAUACAUUAUUGAAUGAUAAUGAUGUUAUCUGAACUCCCAAGCAACAAGCAACAUUCGUCAUAAUCAUAAUCAUCAUGGAGAAAAACAAAAUAAAGAAGAAAAAAGGAAAGAAACAGGUUAAUAUCAAAUAUAAUAUGUAUUCUGAAAUUGUUGUAAUUGAGGAUUAAAUAAGAGCACAAUGCUAAUUAGCUAAUUGAUUCCCAGGUAAUACAAAUUGGGACACACUUAUACGAUAAUAUACAAAAAGUCACAGCAUCACAGUCACUAAAAGUUAUUAAAAAACAAACAAAAUAAAGUAAUCAAAUCAACAAAAUCAAAGUGAAAAAAUAAACAUCAGAAAGGUCAAUAUUGAUAGAUCCAAUGACUGAGAUCCGAUACUGAUUUCAAUGUAUUGAUUUUAAAACGAUGUAUCGUUAAUUUAUUUGUAAACAAAAGACAAAAGUAUUAUGAUCAUGAUUUUGAUUUAAAUCAUUCAAUCGUUGUAAUCUCCAUUCUUUCCCUGUAACCUUUUAGCGGUAAAUUAUAAUUGUCCUUUAACCUGCUACACUCGCUGGUUAACUCGUGUAACAAUAAUAACAACAAUUGUGCCAAUGAAGACAAAACAAACACGCUGACUGAUAUAAUGUUAAUAAGUAAAGCAACUUGGAGUAAAUUGUAUUGAAAGCUAAACAUAAUGUGAAACCCUUCAAACAGUGAAUGUAUUAUAAAUAUCUACCUAUUUGGGUAUGUAUAUGCAUGUAUUAUUACCAUUAUAAUAGAGAGAAAGGAAGAAAUUUUCUCUAUUUUACUUUACCUUUUCUCUAAAAUACAUGAACGUUAAAUCGAUAUUAUUCAUGUUCAUCCAAAGAUAAAUUUACAUUUCUUUUCAUUAAAUCAUAUCAAACGAUAAUAACAAACAAACAAACCAGUGCAACAUCCGAAUCAGGAAAGCAGUGAUAAUCAGUGAAAAUAAAAAGGAACCACAAAAAAACAUUCAUCAAGCUUGACUAAACUUAAACAUCAAUUGAAACAUCCACAAACCAAAUAAACAGUAACUCUCAAAGAUCAACAUUUUAAUUGGCUCCUUUGAUUGCCAGCAAUCUUGCUUCAGUAAAAUACUCAUUACCACAAUCAAUGAACAUCCAGUGACUAUGAAACGUCUAUUGAGUUACAGACUUUAGUGAAUAUAUACAAAGUAGAUUUACAUUAAGUAAAAAAUAGACUUUAAUAGACGUUAAUAUAUUGUUAUUAUAUUAUGUGAUAUUAAUAUUAAAUCAACAAUAACCUUAUUAACAAUCAGAGAAAUGAUUGAAAAAAUACAAAAAUUUGCAAAUGUAAAAUAAUGUAAAGCAUAAACGGAUCAAUAUGUUUGGAGUUUAUUUUACAGCAAAAAAGGUUUUUCCUUUUUUUGCAUUGUUAUGUGUUUACUUAUGAUUUGUAUCAUUGAUGGUUUAACAAAUCUAAUCAAAUAAAUUUGAUCCUUGAUCAAUAAACUCAGCUGGAUACAACAACAAUUUGUGUAAAAUUGCUUGUUUAACAUUGCUAUUAACAGACAAUCAGACAUGAAUUUGAAAAGGUAUAAAAAAUGUAUUAAAGCUAAUGGACUUUAUCAACAGAGUAAAUUGGAAAGCAAAGGAAUCAUUUCAACUAAUCUCAACAUUAUUUUCAUCAUAUUUAUCAUCGCAUUCAUCAACAUUUCCAUCAUCAUUUUCAUCUUCAUCACCAAUAGUUCAAUGAAUGAAAAGGAAAAAAAUGUUGAAAAGAAAGUCUCAUUUUUAUGGUUGAACCAAUUUUACUUUAUUUGAUUUAGCUUUUCAUCUUUGAUCACUAUUAACGGGAAAUAAUAUUUUUCCGGUUAACAUUAUUUUGAUUAGUAAAGCAUUUAUCAAAUUACUUGGUAAAGGUUCACCAUUACUUAACCAAUUUCAAUUGCGCUCACCAUUAAAACAGUAUUUGAUUUAAACACAAAACAAAACCUUUACGUGAAACUUGAUUGAAACCCAUUUUUGGUUUUUUUGCCUUGAUGAGCUUUUCCCUUGAAAUUCAUCUUUAUUCACAAUUUAAAGUGUCAACUAAUUGAUUUAAUUGUUAUUCAAAAGAUGUAAUUCAAUAAUUAGUGAAAGAUUAAUUGAUGUUAAAACUGAGGCAAACAAGGAUUGAUUGGAUAAAUUGUAUUGCCGGCAUAAAAGUAGCUCUUGAAUAAUGAAUAAUGUUCAAGUUAAGUGGAUGUUGAUGUUAAUGAUUUAAUCAUCAUUAUUAUAAUCAAUUUGAUGAUCUCCAUCACAAUUAUCAAAUGUUUUAUUUGCAAGGAAUAGUGACUCACAAUAAUAAUCUUUCCAGCUUUUAUGAUCAUUUCAAAUUAAUAAUCUUUCAUCUUUAUUAUCAUCAUUUUUUUCAUUGUAUAUAAUGUAUAACAUUUUUUUUAUCAUUUUCAAUGCUCCUUUAACUUUAUUCAUAUUAAAUAUCAUCAAGGGAUGAGGAUAAAGAUGAAAUGGACUUGAGGGAAAUGUUGAUAAAUUGGUUAUUCUGGUUAAAAUGUUAGACUUUUUUAGGUACAUUUUUUGUUUGUCAAUGUAAAAAUGAUAUUACCUUUUGUUUGUCUGUUGUAUGAAAAUCUUUUGGUUUAA